rnacentral:sRNA from 1 species
GGACGGGGUCAGGUCCCAUCAUGGCGGCUGAAGAGGCGGAUGUGGAUAUCGAAGGGGACGUGGUAGCGGCGGCGGGGGCACAGCCAGGAAGUGGUGAAAACACAGCAUCAGUUUUACAAAAAGAUCACUAUCUUGAUUCAUCUUGGAGAACAGAGAAUGGCCUUAUUCCUUGGACCUUGGAUAACACCAUCAGUGAAGAGAACAGAGCUGUUAUUGAGAAAAUGUUGUUGGAAGAAGAAUAUUAUUUAUCUAAAAAAUCACUACCGGAAAAAGUCUGGCUUGAUCAAAAGGAAGAUGAUAAAAAAUACAUGAAGAGUCUGCAGAAAACAGCAAAAAUCAUGUAUGUACUUAUAUUUUAUAUUUCUAAAUCUGUUUUCA